rnacentral:tRNA from 3 species
GCGAUAAUAGUCUAGUGGCAUGACAGAGGCUUCCCAAGCCUUUAGCCCGGGUUCAAUCCCCGGUUAUCGCA